AGCGAACGCUGGCGGCAGGCUUAACACAUGCAAGUCGAGCGGGCACUUUCGGGUGUCAGCGGCGGACGGGUGAGUAACGCGUGGGAACGUGCCCUCUGGUUCGGAAUAACUCAGGGAAACUUGAGCUAAUACCGGAUACGCCCUUUUGGGGAAAGGCUUGCUGCCGGAGGAUCGGCCCGCGUCUGAUUAGCUAGUUGGUGAGGUAACGGCUCACCAAGGCGACGAUCAGUAGCUGGUCUGAGAGGAUGAUCAGCCACACUGGGACUGAGACACGGCCCAGACCCCAAGGGGAGGAAGAAGUGGGAAUAUUGGACAAUGGGCGCAAGCCUGAUCCAGCCAUGCCGCGUGAGUGAUGAAGGCCUUAGGGUUGUAAAGCUCUUUUAUCCGGGACGAUAAUGACGGUACCGGAGGAAUAAGCCCCGGCUAACUUCGUG
rnacentral:rRNA from 1 species